ACCUCAGCAGAGUAAAACAAGAGGCGCUACUAGGCGUGCUGCUCAAAGUACGCCAACUAACCCUGAUUCAACAAGAAUGAUUUUCUAGAAGUCAAACUAACACCAAUAAUGCCAGCGGAUUUACCGAGCAGACAUCAGAUUUAAGAGUAUAUUUCGCGGGAUAAUUAGUGAUGGCUACUACUGAGAUGGAAUCUGGUUCUUUGGAAAGCAAAUCAGAACAAGGGACAGUCGACUCUGAUUCAAAGUACCCACUGAAAGUACUUUACUGUGGAGUGUGCUCUCUGCCUACUGAGGUA